rnacentral:rRNA from 1 species
UAGCAAUAUCAUAGUGGCGCACGGGUGCGUAACACGUAUGCAACCUACCUUAUACUGAGGGAUAGCCUUUCGAAAGGGAGAUUAAUACCUCAUAACACAUUGAACUGGCAUCAGUUUAUUGUUAAAGAUUUAUUGGUAUAAGAUGGGCAUGCGUCCAAUUAGUUAGUUGGCGAGGCAACGGCUCACCAAGACGAUGAUUGGUAGGGGAACUGAGAGGUUAAUCCCCCACACUGGCACUGAGAUACGGGCCAGACUCCUACGGGAGGCAGCAGUAGGGAAUAUUGGGCAAUGGAGGCAACUCUGACCCAGCCAUGCCGCGUGCAGGAAGAAGGCGUUAUGCGUUGCAAACUGCUUUUAUAUAGGAAGAAAUAGACCUUGCGAGGUAAGUUGACGGUACUAUAUGAAUAAGCACCGGCUAACUCCGUGCCAGCAGCCGCGGUAAUACGGAGGGUGCAAGCGUUGUCCGGAUUUAUUGGGUUUAAAGGGUGCGUAGGCGGUUUAUUAAGUCAGUGGUGAAAGACGGUCGCUCAACGAUUGCAGUGCCAUUGAUACUGGUAGACUUGAGUGGGAUUGAGGUAGCUGGAAUGGAUAGUGUAGCGGUGAAAUGCAUAGAUAUUAUCCAGAACACCAAUUGCGUAGGCAAGUUACUAAGUCUCAACUGACGCUGAGGCACGAAAGUGUGGGUAUCAAACAGGAUUAGAUACCCUGGUAGUCCACACUGUAAACGAUGAUAACUAACUGUUGGCUUACGAGUCAGUGGUACA